rnacentral:rRNA from 1 species
GUCGAACGAAGCGCCUUGCCGGAACCCCUUCGGGGAGGAAGGCAUUGCGACUGACUGGCGGACGGGUGAGUAACGCGUGGGCAACCUGCCCCAUACAGGGGGAUAACAGUUAGAAAUGACUGCUAACACCGCAUAAGCGCACAGGGUCGCAUGGCCCGGUGUGAAAAACUCCGGUGGUAUGGGAUGGGCCCGCGUCUGAUUAGCCAGUUGGCGGGGUAACGGCCCACCAAAGCGACGAUCAGUAGCCGACCUGAGAGGGUGACCGGCCACAUUGGGACUGAGACACGGCCCAAACUCCUACGGGAGGCAGCAGUGGGGAAUAUUGCACAAUGGGGGGAACCCUGAUGCAGCGACGCCGCGUGAGCGAAGAAGUAUCUCGGUAUGUAAAGCUCUAUCAGCAGGGAAGAAAAAUGACGGUACCUGACUAAGAAGCCCCGGCUAACUACGUGCCAGCAGCCGCGGUAAUACGUAGGGGGCAAGCGUUAUCCGGAUUUACUGGGUGUAAAGGGAGCGCAGGCGGCGCGGCAAGUCUGAUGUGAAAGCCCGGGGCUCAACCCCGGGACUGCAUUGGAAACUGUCGCGCUCGAGUGUCGGAGAGGUAAGUGGAAUUCCUAGUGUAGCGGUGAAAUGCGUAGAUAUUAAGAGGAACACCAGUGGCGAAGGCGGCUUACUGGACGACAACUGACGCUGAGGCUCGAAAGCGUGGGGAGCAAACAGGAUU